UGGAUUGAAAUGGGCGAAAGCCUGAUGCAGCAACGCCGCGUGAGCGAUGAAGGCCUUCGGGUCGUAAAGCUCUGUCCUCAAGGAAGAUAAUGACGGUACUUGAGGAGGAAGCCCCGGCUAACUACGUGCCAGCAGCCGCGGUAAUACGUAGGGGGCUAGCGUUAUCCGGAUUUACUGGGCGUAAAGGGUGCGUAGGUGGUUUCUUAAGUCAGAGGUGAAAGGCUACGGCUCAACCGUAGUAAGCCUUUGAAACUGGGAAACUUGAGUGCAGGAGAGGAGAGUGGAAUUCCUAGUGUAGCGGUGAAAUGCGUAGAUAUUAGGAGGAACACCAGUUGCGAAGGCGGCUCUCUGGACUGUAACUGACACUGAGGCACGAAAGCGUGGGGAGCAAACAGGAUUAGAUACCCUG
rnacentral:rRNA from 1 species